CCUACGGGUGGCAGCAGUGGGGAAUAUUGCACAAUGGGCGAAAGCCUGACGCAGCGACGCCGCGUGAGGGAUGAAGGUCUUCGGAUCGUAAACCUCUUUCAGCAGGGAGGAACGGUCACUGUGCUAAUCAGCCGUGAGUUGACUUUGCCUGCAAAGGAAGCACCGGCUAACUCCGUGCCGGCAGCCGCGGUAAUACGGAGGGUGCGAGCGUUAAUCGGAAUUACUGGGCGUAAAGCGCUCGUAGGCGGUAUGUCAAGUCAAGUGUGAAAUCCCCGCGCUCAACGGGGGAACUGCCUUUGAAACUGGCAAACUGGAGUGUGUGAGAGGAGAGUGGAAUUCCAGGUGUAGGAGUGAAAUCCGUAGAUAUCGGGAGGAACAUCAGUGGCGAAGGCGACUAUCUGGCACAUAACUGACGCUGAGGAGCGAAAGCGUGGGUAGCAAACAGGAUUAGAUACCCCAGUAGUC
rnacentral:rRNA from 1 species